rnacentral:rRNA from 1 species
UGCCAGCCGCCGCGGUAACACGGGGGGCGCAAGCGUUAUUCGGAAUUAUUGGGCGUAAAGCGCGUGUAGGCGGUUCGUUAAGUCUGAUGUGAAAGCCCGGGGCUCAACCCCGGAAGUGCAUUGGAAACUGGCGAACUUGAGUACGGGAGAGGAAAGUGGAAUUCCGAGUGUAGGGGUGAAAUCCGUAGAUAUUCGGAGGAACACCAGUGGCGAAGGCGGCUUUCUGGACCGAUACUGACGUUAAGAUACGAAAGCAUGGGUAGCAAAAGGGAUUAGAUA